rnacentral:rRNA from 1 species
GACGAACGCUGGCGGCGUGCCUAAUACAUGCAAGUUGAGCGCUGAAGGUUGGUACUUGUACCAACUGGAUGAGCAGCGAACGGGUGAGUAACGCGUGGGGAAUCUGCCUUUGAGCGGGGGACAACAUUUGGAAACGAAUGCUAAUACCGCAUAAAAACUUUAAACACAAGUUUUAAGUUUGAAAGAUGCAAUUGCAUCACUCAAAGAUGAUCCCGCGUUGUAUUAGCUAGUUGGUGAGGUAAAGGCUCACCAAGGCGAUGAUACAUAGCCGACCUGAGAGGGGGAUCGGCCACAUUGGGACUGAGACACGGCCCAAACUCCUACGGGAGGCAGCAGUAGGGAAUCUUCGGCAAUGGACGAAAGUCUGACCGAGCAACGCCGCGUGAGUGAAGAAGGUUUUCGGAUCGUAAAACUCUGUUGGUAGAGAAGAACGUUGGUGAGAGUGGAAAGCUCAUCAAGUGACGGCAACUACCCAGAAAGGGACGGCUAACUACGUG